rnacentral:rRNA from 1 species
CACCUGUUUAUCAAAAACAUGUCUUUUUGAAUUUUUUUUAAAGUCUAACCUGCCCACUGAAAUUUUUAAAUGGCCGCAGUAUACUAACUGUGCAAAGGUAGCAUAAUCAUUAGUCUUUUAAUUGAAGGCUGGUAUGAAUGGUUGGACGAGAUAUUAACUGUUUCAUAAGAAUUUAUAAUAGAAUUUUAUUUUUUAGUCAAAAAGCUAAAAUAUAUUUAAAAGACGAGAAGACCCUAUAAAUCUUUAUAUUUAGAUUAUUAUAAUUUUAUAGAUUUUUUUUGUUAUAAUAAUCAAUGAUAUUUUAUUGGGGUGAUAUUAAAAUUUAAUAAACUUUUAAUUGUUAAAAUCAUUAAUUUAUGAAUAAUUGAUCCGUUAUUAGCGAUUAAAAAAAUAAGUUACUUUAGGGAUAACAGCGUAAUUUUUUUGGAGAGUUCAUAUCGAUAAAAAAGAUUGCGACCUCGAUGUUGGAUUAAGAUAUAAUUUUAGGUGUAGCCGCUUAAAUUUUAAGUCUGUUCGACUUUUAAAUUCUUACGUGAUCUGAGUUCAGACCGG